CUUGAAGGGAAAUGAAUUUGUAGGCUGUCCCUACAAAUGGGUGGGUGUGGAAAGGAUAGAAAUGGAUUUUGAACAGACUGCAGAUGUUUUCUAGACUGAUGGCGAGCUGCAAAGCUAUGAGCCAAGUCUGUCAAUAGGAAAAGAUGAAGGAGGCCUUUGUAGGAAGAACACUGCCCUUGAGAUACAUGUAAAAACAGCAAGAGUUGCGGUGUGCGAGAGGACAGAAAUAACAGCGGGGGCUCAAAAAAAGCAGCGGAUGUAAAAAGGGUGGAGGCAUGGCCCUGCUGAUGACAGCAAUGCUUGGUGUGGCCAAGGCUCAUGCGGCCACAGAAAGCCCACAGGACAGCUCCCAGAUGCACUGCAAGCAUCUGUCCCACCAUCCCCAGCUCACAGCAAAGCAGACACCUGAAGCAGAAGCUGCUCCCCAAAAGCAGCGCCCCAGAAGAUGCUGGGGCAGGUGCCAUGGGCAAGGCUGUCUCCUUCUGGCCCUGCCGUCCUGCUCCUGGCCCUCUGUGGCAGCAUGACCUCCCAGGACAUCUGCAGCUUCCCAGGGGAUCUCCGAGCUCCUGCUCUCCAAAUGAACUCAACUUCUGCUCAGCCAGGUACCACAGUUGUGCUCCAGUGUAUUCUCCAUGUGGUGUCAAGUGUAAGACAAGUCAUUUUCUGCAAGGAUGGGAUGGAGGUGUACAGUCUGAAAGCCCAGCAAGGGCAGCUGAGAUACUCCGUGGUCCUGAACAUCACGUCAAGGAGCGCAGGAAGAUAUACAUGUGGGUACCAGCAGAGGAAUGA
rnacentral:lncRNA from 1 species